rnacentral:rRNA from 1 species
AUUGAACGCUGGCGGCAUGCUUUACACAUGCAAGUCGAACGGUAACAGGCCGCAAGGUGCUGACGAGUGGCGAACGGGUGAGUAAUGCAUCGGAACGUGCCCAGUCGUGGGGGAUAACGCAGCGAAAGCUGCGCUAAUACCGCAUACGAUCUAUGGAUGAAAGCGGGGGACCGAAAGGCCUCGCGCGAUUGGAGCGGCCGAUGUCGGAUUAGGUAGUUGGUGGGGUAAAGGCUCACCAAGCCAACGAUCUGUAGCUGGUCUGAGAGGACGACCAGCCACACUGGGACUGAGACACGGCCCAGACUCCUACGGGAGGCAGCAGUGGGGAAUUUUGGACAAUGGGCGCAAGCCUGAUCCAGCAAUGCCGCGUGCAGGAAGAAGGCCUUCGGGUUGUAAACUGCUUUUGUACGGAACGAAACGGUCCUGGUUAAUACCUGGGGCUAAUGACGGUACCGUAAGAAUAAGCACCGGCUAACUACGUGCCAGCCGCCGCCGUAACAC